rnacentral:ncRNA from 1 species
GAGCGUUAUGGGCUAACUCGUCAAAAGGCGGGGUCGCAAAGCUAUAGGGUCUAAGGUGCUUUUAAGCAUUAUGACAGCCUGGCUGCAGAA